rnacentral:rRNA from 1 species
UACGAAGGGGGCUAGCGUUGUUCGGAAUUACUGGGCGUAAAGCGCGCGCAGGCGGCUAUCCAAGUCAGUGGUGAAAACCCGGAGCUCAACUCCGGAACUGCCAUUGAAACUGUUUAGCUUGAGGAUGAGAGAGGUGAGUGGAAUUCCCAGUGUAGAGGUGAAAUUCGUAGAUAUUGGGAAGAACACCGGUGGCGAAGGCGGCUCACUGGCUCAUUACUGACGCUCAGGCGCGAUAGCGUGGGGAUCAAACAGG